rnacentral:rRNA from 1 species
AUACUAUCGUUGCUUCGGCGGGCAUCGCCCCGUGGCGCCUUGUGUGCCCCGGAUCCAGGCACCCGCCGGGGGACCUUAACUCUUGUUUUAUUUAGAAUCUUCUGAGUAGUUUUUACAAAUAAAUAAAAACUUUCAACAACGGAUCUCUUGGUUCUGGCAUCGAUGAAGAACGCAGCGAAAUGCGAAAAGUAAUGUGAAUUGCAGAAUUCAGUGAAUCAUCGAAUCUUUGAACGCACAUUGCGCCCGCCAGUAUUCUGGCGGGCAUGCCUGUCUGAGCGUCAUUUCAACCCUCAUACCCCUAGGGUGUGGUGUUGGGGAUCGGCCAAGGCCCGCAAGGGACGGCCGGCCCCUAAAUCUAGUGGCGGACCCGUCGUGGCCUCCUCUGCGAAGUAGUAAUAUUCCGCAUCGGAGAAGCGACGAGCCCCUGCCGUUAAACCCCCAACUUUCUAAGGUUGAGCCUCAGUAUCAGGUAGGAAUACCCGCUGAACUUAAGCAUAUCAAU